AUUGAACGCUGGCGGCAUGCCUUACACAUGCAAGUCGAACGGUAACGGGCCUUCGGGUGCCGACGAGUGGCGAACGGGUGAGUAAUGUAUCGGAACGUACCUUUCAGUGGGGGAUAACGUAGCGAAAGUUACGCUAAUACCGCAUAUUCUGUGAGCAGGAAAGCAGGGGAUCGCAAGACCUUGCGCUGAUUGAGCGGCCGAUAUCAGAUUAGCUAGUUGGUGAGGUAAAGGCUCACCAAGGCGACGAUCUGUAGCGGGUCUGAGAGGAUGAUCCGCCACACUGGAACUGAGACACGGUCCAGACUCCUACGGGAGGCAGCAGUGGGGAAUUUUGGACAAUGGGCGCAAGCCUGAUCCAGCCAUUCCGCGUGCAGGAUGAAGGCCUUCGGGUUGUAAACUGCUUUUGUACGGUAACGAAACGGCGAGCUCUAAUACAGUUUGCUAAUGACGGUACCGUAAGAAUAAGCACCGGCUAACUACGUGCCAGCAGCCGAC
rnacentral:rRNA from 1 species